UACGUAGGGGGCAAGCGUUGUCCGGAAUUAUUGGGCGUAAAGCGCGUGUAGGCGGCUCGGUAAGUCUGCUGUGAAAGUCCAGGGCUCAACCCUGGAAUGCCGGUGGAUACUGUCGAGCUCGAGUCCGGAAGAGGCGAGUGGAAUUCCUGGUGUAGCGGUGAAAUGCGCAGAUAUCAGGAGGAACACCAAUGGCGAAGGCAGCUCGCUGGGACGGUAACUGACGCUGGAGACGCGAAAGCGUGGGGAGCAAACAGG
rnacentral:rRNA from 1 species